GGAUAACCUGCCCUUAGGUCUGGCAUAACCCCGGGAAACUGGGGAUAAUUCCGGAUAGAUCAUCGAUGCUGGAAUGCGCUUUGAUCCAAAGCUAUUGCGCCUAAGGAUGGGUCUGCGGUCUAUCAGGUUGUAGUGGGUGUAAUGUACCUACUAGCCUACGACGGAUACGGGUUGUGGGAGCAAGAGCCCGGAGAUGGAUUCUGAGACAUGAAUCCAGGCCCUACGGGGCGCAGCAGGCGCGAAAACUUUACAAUGCGGGGAACCGCGAUAAGGGGACACCGAGUGCCAGCAUCCUAUGUUGGCUGUCCAUAUGUCUAAAUCACAUGUGUUAGCAAGGGCCGGGCAAGACCGGUGCCAGCCGCCGCGGUAACACCGGCGGCCCGAGUGGUGGCCACUAUUAUUGGGUCUAAAGGGUCCGUAGCCGGUUUGGUCAGUCUUCCGGGAAAUCUGACGGCUCAACCGUUAGGCUUUCGGGGGAUACUACCAGGCUUGGGACCGGGAGAGGUAAGAGGUACUACGGGGGUAGGAGUGAAAUCUUGUAAUCCCUGUGGGACCACCAGUGGCGAAGGCGUCUUACCAGAACGGGUCCGACGGUGAGGGACGAAAGCUGGGGGCACGAACCGGAUUAGAUACCCGGGUAGUCCCAGCUGUAAACUAUGCUCGCUAGGUGUCAGGGACGGUGCGACCGUUUCUGGUGCCGCAGGGAAGCCGUGAAGCGAGCCACCUGGGAAGUACGGCCGCAAGGCUGAAACUUAA
rnacentral:rRNA from 1 species